UGGGGAUAUAAAACCAGACAUUCGAGCCAGCAACAGCUACCCUCUUUGGGUCCCCUCCCUUUGUAUGGGAGCUCUGUUUUCACUCUAUUAAAUCUUGCAACUGCACUCUCUUCUGGUCUGUGCUUGUUAUGGUUUGAGCUGAGCUUUCGAUUGCUGUCUACCACUGCUGUUUGCCACCAUUGCAGACCCGCUGCUGACUUACAUCCCUCCGGAUCUGGCAGGGUGUCCGCUGUGCUCCUGAUCCAGUGAGGUGCCCAUUGCCACUCCCUGUCGGGCUAAAGGCUUGCCAUUGUUCCUGCAUGGCUAAGUGCCCGGGUUUGUCCUAAUCGAGCUGAACACUAGUCACUGGGUUCCUCGGUUCUCUUCUGUGACCCACAGCUUCUAAUAGAGGUAUAACACUCACUGCAUGGCCAAGAUUCCAUUCCUUGGAAUCCAUGAGGCCAAGAACCCCAGGUCAGAGAACACUAGGCUUGCCGCCAUCUUGGAAGCAGCCCGCCACCAUCUUGGGACCUCUGGGAGCAAGGACGCCCCCCCUCCCCCGCUGCUGGUAACAUUUUGGCAACCACGAAGCAACCUCCAAAGCAGCACUCAUUUGCUGCUCUUGCAAGUGCUGCCACCCAUGUGAUGCCAUCUGCCAUAUGACACAGCAUGUCAUGGUCCUUUCCAGAGGUGUGUGCUCCAUGUGGACACUGACUGCUAAGAAGACAGAAAAGACAGAAAAGAAAACCAAACAACAACAACAACAAAUAGGACACAGCAUUGAAUAUUUUAGUCAAAUUCUUCUGGGACUGAAGUAUCCAGAUAAGCACUUUUAUGUUUCUCUUCCUUUUUAGGAAUAGAUGUUGAUUUAAGUACACUAGACAUUCAAUUGGAUAAAUGGAAAGGAGAAACUAUCAGUCCCAUUAUUGACUCUAAUGAAUGUUAGAUUAAUUAAUGUUGAAGAAAAUAAAUACAAAACGUGUUAGAAGUUUUAGAAUGCAUUUUGAAAAUCUUCCUGGAAAUCAUUAAAUAAAAAUAGUAGGGGUCUUUGGUAAAGGAAAAUGUUUUCGUAUACACAGACACAUGCAUUUUCUAGCUAUCUGCUUAGCUCAUGUAAGAGAAUAAAUUAGAAUUAAUAGUAAAUUAAGUUAUAAUAUAAGAAGUUCUUACCUUCUUAAAGGUUCUUGUCAUUCAAAUAAAGACACUUACACAAUGUUAUUAGUAAUUUCUUUCUUCUUCAUCCAGUGAAGGAAUUGGAGUAAAUUGUCUAAUAUGUGGAACCUUUGAAAAUACCUGCAACUAACAUAUUUUAUCAAAUUAAAUGUUUCAUUUAAAUCUUAUUUAUAUGAAUAUUGCAACUUAUCAGUAAAGAAACUGAAGAUAAGUUACAUAAUUAUCAAGUGCCAAAAAACAGGAUUUAUGUCUGCUUAUUCUAAAAGCUAGGAACUGUU
rnacentral:lncRNA from 1 species